rnacentral:rRNA from 1 species
GCGAGCUGACGGAGCACGCCGCGUGAGGGAUGAAGGCCUUUGGGCUGUAAACCUCUUUUCUCAAGGAAGAAGACCUGACGGUACUUGAGGAAUAAGCCACGGCUAAUUCCGUGCCAGCAGCCGCGGUAAUACGGGAGUGGCAAGCGUUAUCCGGAAUUAUUGGGCGUAAAGCGUCCGCAGGCGGCCGUUUAAGUCUGUUGUUAAAUCGUGGAGCUCAACUCCAUCACGGCAAUGGAAACUGUUCGGCUUGAGUAUGGUAGGGGCAGAGGGAAUUUCCGGUGUAGCGGUGAAAUGCGUAGAUAUCGGGAAGAACACCAGUGGCGAAAGCGCUCUGCUGGACCAUUACUGACGCUCAUGGACGAAAGCCAGGGGAGCGAAAGGGAUUAGAUACCCCUGUAGUCCUGGCCGUAAACGAUGAACACUAGAUGUUGGGGGAAUCGACCCCCUCGGUGUCGUAGCUAACGCGUUAAGUGUUCCGCCUGGGGAGUACGCACGCAAGUGUGAAACUCAAAGGAAAUUGACGGA